UACGAAGGGUGCAAGCGUUAAUCGGAAUUAUUGGGCGUAAAGGGUGCGUAGGCGGUUGUUUAAGUCUGCCGUGAAAUCCCCGGGCUCAACCUGGGAAUGGCAAUGGAUACUGGCGGGCUAGAGUGUGUCAGAGGAUGGUGGAAUUCCCGGUGUAGCGGUGAAAUGCGUAGAGAUCGGGAGGAACAUCAGUGGCGAAGGCGGCCAUCUGGGACAACACUGACGCUGAAGCACGAAAGCGUGGGGAGCAAACAGG
rnacentral:rRNA from 1 species